CCAUGAUACACUUUCCUUUUUGAGCUGACUUUAUGGUGUUUCUGAGUUUCAGAUAUCUAUGUUUCUCUCUGUGUUUCAGAUGAUCAUAAGACUGAUCAGUCAGACACACAAGAAUCUGCACUUCCUGCACACUGUGGGCUUAUUACUAUAAUUCUAUCAUGUGUGUGUGCAGUUUCUGUCUCUGUAACUGUCAUCUGUUCCUCUCUGUACUGUUCCAAGCUACAGGAGGGUUUUUCUACCUGGGACUCAAACAAUAAGGAAGCUGAGCUGGAACCAUCUGAUUUGACCUCUGUGACCUACACAAGUGCCUCCUGAUGGCCCAGAUAAGGACAAGCAUGAGGAUCACAAACAGAGAACCUCCUACAAGCUGAUUACAACAUUACAGACGCUGUGUACUAAAUAAUUAAUGCUGUCUAAUGUCUGCUUUUGAUGGAAAAAAAAUGUGACAAACUUCUUCUACUAAUCUACUCGAAAUGUUUUUCUAUAAUUGAAUUCCUCAUGUGAUUUAUUUUAACUAAUUACAGUAAUGCAGGAGUGUAACACAUGUACAGUGUAAUUCUGCUGCCACCUGCUGGAUGGAGUGAAUUUGAGGGAUUUCAGAAAAGGACAUUGUCACUUUAGAGAGAUCAUUCUAUAUAAUGCAUCCAGAUAAGACACAUGUACGAACAUUAGAAGUGAAACGUGAGAUAUUUCACCCCCUUAGACCUUGAGACUUGUAUGAUUGUCAUAAACAGUUUAAUCUCCAGU